rnacentral:rRNA from 1 species
GGAAGUAAAAGUCGUAACAAGGUUUCCGUAGGUGAACCUGCGGAAGGAUCAUUAAUGAUUUUUAAAGCGAGUCGAGCGUUAAGCGAGGCUUGCGAAAAAUAUUUAAAACCCCACUCUUUUUAACCUUAAAAAAUAAAUCAUGAUACAUGAAUUUAAGAAAAAAGAUCACUUUCAACAACGGAUCUCUUGGCUCUCGCACCGAUGAAGAACGCAGCGAAAUGCGAUAAGUAGUGUGAAUUGCAUAAUUUUGUGAAUCAUCGAAUCUUUGAACGCAAAUUGCACUCCCUGGUAUUCCGGGGAGUAUGCCUGUUUGAGGGUCGUUAGAAUAAAAAUCGAGGCGUCGCUCUUUUUUUUAAGGGUGAUCGCGUCGGAAUUGAGCCGUCUUUCAAAUGUUAAUUCAUGUCAAAGUGGCUUAAAAUUCAUCCAUCCGGUACGAUUAAAGCGUAUUUAAGAUCAAUUUUGAUUAAGAACGCGCGAUGACGUACCAUCUCAUGUAGUACGUUUGACCUGGCGUCGUCAGGAUCAUUCGUAUACGAUAUUCAACUUUUGACCUCAAAUCAGGUAAGAAUACCCGCUGAACUUAAGCAUAUCAAUAAGCGGAGGA